rnacentral:rRNA from 1 species
GACGAACGCUGGCGGCGUGCUUAACACAUGCAUGUCGAACGGUGAAGCUCCAGCUUGCUGGAGUGGAUCAGUGGCGAACGGGUGAGUAACACGUGAGCAACCUGCCCCAGACUCUGGAAUAAGCGCUGGAAACGGCGUCUAAUACUGGAUACGAGAUCAAGCCGCAUGGUUAUGGUCUGGAAAGUUUUUCGGUUUGGGAUGGGCUCGCGGCCUAUCAGCUUGUUGGUGAGGUAAUGGCUCACCAAGGCGACGACGGGUAGCCGGCCUGAGAGGGCGACCGGCCACACUGGGACUGAGACACGGCCCAGACUCCUACGGGAGGCAGCAGUGGGGAAUACUGCACAAUGGGCGAAAGCCUGAUGCAGCGACGCCGCGUGAGGGAUGACGGCCUUCGGGUUGUAAACCUCUUUCAGCAGGGAAGAAGCGAAAGUGACGGUACCUGCAGAAGAAGCACCGGCUAACUACGUG